CUUUGCAUGGUUUUGGGAUGAGUGUAAUACUGAAUACCAUUGCUUUAGUCCAAUCUUUUUGUAUGAAUCCAUUCCCAGUGAAAUCGGUGAGCUAUCCUCAAAUCUUUGUGAUUGGGUCUCAAAUGCCAGUAAGGAAGUGAUAAAAUGGCAUGUGCCAAAAAUAAACUUGUCUCUCUCUCUUUUUCCUUUUUUGCUUUUCUUUCUUUUUUAAAAUUUUUAUUAGGAAAUAUUCACUAUACAGGGGGGAUUUGUAGUGACAAUUCUGAUUAGACUUAUAUUGUACAUUAUUUACAUUGCCCCCAUUGGCUCUCCCCCUAAACUUAUCUCUCUAUUCUUAAGGAGCCAUUAUACUCUGGAUGGCUGUGGCUCUCGUAAGUUUUGCUAUGUGUGGACACAAUCCUUGUGACUAAACUAUCAAAGCUACUAUGUUUUUGAUGUUGCUGUGUUUAUUUUUAUAAACAUUUCUAUCUUUAUUUUUCUUAACAUUCAGUAUACCUCAUAAUACCACCCUGGAAGAAAUUAUGAUGAUACAUAUACACAACUGAAAAAUGCCACUAAUUCUAGUUAUGGAAUAAGUGAAGUUUAUCUAAUAUUUAAUUCAGGAAGAAAGCUCACAUUGUUGGUGUGGUUUUAUUACUCCAUACCCUCUUUUGUCCACAGGGACCAGGGAUCAUGCUCUGGGUAUCUCAUUGCCUGAAGCACUGGAGCUUUCAUGAGUUCUGACUGCACUGACUUAAGCAGAACCAGUUUUAGGGAGCCACCACAAACUGUCAUGUGGAGAUUAUGGAGCCAAAGAGUCCUUCCCACUGAGAACACCAGACAUCACUUGGUGGAAGAAAGUUUGUGGUUACCAUGAAGAUUAGGAGCGAUUGCAGGUCUGCUUGACCUCUUUCCUUCACUGCAGGUACCUCAUUCUAAUAACAUCCCAAGUUGCUUCCCAGGAGAGUCUGUCCUUUGAUAUGUGUCAUUUUUUUUUGGCAGUACUGAGGCUUAAACUCAGGGCCUCACGUUUGCCGGGCAGGCACUGUACCACUUCAGCCACUCCACCAGUCCUGAUAUGUGACUUUA
rnacentral:lncRNA from 1 species